AUGAUGUUUCUGUGCUCUCUGCUUCUGCUGUCAGUUAUACAAGAUGAAUGCCUUGCACAGAAAAUAACAACACUGCAAGGCACAACACAUGCUACUGAGGGGAAGACAGUCAUUCUCUCAUGCAAAUAUGAAGGGAGCGUAGAUAAUUUGCUGUGGUAUCGGCAAUAUCCUGGAUCCAGACCUGAAUUUCUGCUUCUUGUCAUUGAGACAUUAACAAGGAGUGUAAUAUAUGCAUCUCCUCCUAUCCCAAGACUGGAAGGCAAUCUGAAUAUGGGAGAUAAGCAGGUGGAUCUGGAGAUCUCCUCUGCUGCAGUCACAGACUCUGCUCUGUAUUACUGUGCCCUGAGGCCCACAGUGACAGGAAACCCAACGACACUGUACAAAAACCUCUAUGAAGCUCUAAAUAUACAGUAA